AGGGGUCGGUGUCACGCGUGUCCCCGCGGGAGGUGACACGCGUGUCCCCGCGGGUUGGUGACGCGGGAGGUGACACGCGUGUCCCUGCGGGAGGUGACACGCGUGUCCCCGCGGGAUGUGACACACGUGUCCCCAGGUGUAGGGGUUAGUGACACGCGUCACCCCGCGGGAGGUGACAUGUGUGUCCCCGCGGGUUGGUGACGCGGGAGGUGACACACGUGUCCCCGCGGGAGGUGACACGCGUGUCCCCAGGUGUAGGGGUCGGUGUCACG